CACAGAUAAGCAAUUUGUAUAAUUAGUGAAAUCCUAGGGAAAAAAAAAAGGUAUCUCCCUUUCAGGCAUAUAUGUGGUGGAAAUAUGCACAGGGCUGAGGAUGGCUUAUCAAAAACAACCCACUUUAUACAAGGAAAAUAAGUGGCACUGUGUGCUUGCCUGGAGGCAUACCCACAGCUACAUAAGAUAAGGGGAGUUGCACACACAGGUUUACUGAUAAGAGAAGUUACUCAAACUGCUACAGACAUGAGAGGAGUUUCUUAUAAAAGCUUUCGAAUUCAGAUGUAACCCAGCAAUGCACUCAGACUCCUCUCUGCUGUGGAGAGCUUUUUUUUUUUUUUUUCAUAUUAAACUUUCACUCCAACUUUAUCUUUGUGUUUACAAUUCUUAAUUUUUUUGUCUUGGAUAAAGAACAAAAAACCUGGAGUACUUCUUCAGACAACAAGAAACUUCCAAAUUAAGGUGCAUUGGCAAGAAUGCAACAUAUUUUGAUCCAUUGGCUUGGAAGGAGGGAAUUCAUCAGAAGGGUGAGUAAGAGCCGACUUUUACCUUUAACUAUUUACAUUCAUCUAUGAGUCUUCUCAUCUAUUCCAAUCUAGUUUCCUUUCACAGAGGACCUAAGCCAACAUGUGGGAUUGGAAGAAGGUCCUAGGAAAAUUCAAGAUUUCUGGCUGGGACUAACCCUCAGUGUUAUCUGAAGGUCCUCAGUGUUAUCUGAAGACUACUCCAAUCCUUGACAGCCCACCAGUGUGUCAGCACAAGGACCUUCCCUCUUACAUUUUCCUUCUUUUCUCCCAUGGCUAUUAUGUCACCUAUCUCUUCAUUGUAUACAAUGUUGCAGGUGUUUUUUCAGCCUAGAGAUAUAAUCUUGCUUGGUAGAGUAAGUUGGUGUCUUUUUUUGUAACCAGGAAUGUAACUUCAAGAAACUGUGUUUUUGUGAUUUCCUCGAGACAGAGGAGUUCAAGAUUUCUGUCUAAGUAUUCACUUAGUAAGGUCUCUUCUACCCCUCAAUAAUAGACAUUCAUGACACUAUAUGGUCAAAUAUUUCACCCCAAGUGAAUAUCCUCUUUUCUCUCCAUUUGGAUUGUUUCUUCCCUCUACAUUUGGGUUGGUUUUUCCCUCCCCAUUUGGGUUGGUUUUUCCCUCCAUGUAAAAUCCCAGCAUUGCCCAAUAAAUUUAAACAAUUCUUUAUGAAACAAGUUAAUUUUCUUGUGCUGGGAGGAAUAUUAUAGGAACAGCCAAUUAAACUGAAACCUCUUUUUCUAACUUCUGCCUGAAAGGAUGGAGUCACAGUUUUUACCUAAUAUUUCAGACCCUACAGCACUACGUAGGGGAAUGGGAUUUAUUUUUCCCCACUGGGAGCCUUGUUGGCCCUUUGUCUAAAAACUCUGGUUAUCUCCCUUUUAUAUCCCUCUAUUAGAGACUAGGCUUCAUGCCCCAUUUGAAAACAGCAAAGCUCCAGCUUUAACAGUAAGAGGACGGCCAUUCCAUUUAUAUGUUCUUUUAAGGCACCUGUUCUACAUUCAGCUACAUUGGCAUUUACACCAGAAAUGGGUUUUAUGUUUGAAAGUGAAUCAGUCUCAUUCUUUGGGGUUUCAAUGUUUCACUAGGGCCAUAGCAAGGGAAACCAAAGAUAAUACUAAAACACUUCCUCCAUUAAGGAGGGAAGUCCAGCAGAUGCCCAGAUGCAACUGUCACAUAGUCUUUCCUGAGACCCAUCCAUCAAGGAGUGACCCAGACCCAAGUCUACGAGGUCAAAGAAUAAUCACCAUCAGAGGACUAAAGCCACUUGGGUGAGCAUGGCUUGCCCCAUUGCUUAGCUCCUCUGCUACCAUCAUUUGAAGGUCACACUUGAAACCACUGGUGGCAUAUUCAACACAAUGCUGGGACCCAGGAGCCAAGGAGAAAUAACAGUCUGUGGGACACUCCUACUGUCUUCUUCUCCUCCCUGGGUCACACUGAAAAAAAGCAGGAGACAGAGGGAUGCCUCUUUUCUUGUCUAUUUUUCUAGAGAGGUGACAGUCCAACUUUAAUCUGCACCCCUCUGAGUGCACUCUGAAACUUUUAGAACUACUUUGACCCGAUGACUUUGAAGAAAAAGGUGACCAUUUUCUUUUGCACGAGAGCAUGACAUUUUUUACUAAACCUUCACAAGCAUUAUGAGAUCAACCCAGCUUUUUUAACAGUCAUGGCAGGUAGUCCCAUGGAGAAUAAUUCCGCAGAGUUAGAAAAGCAAUUUCUAAAGAAACCAUCUCAGAAUGCCCCUUAUUAAUCACCACCUCAAGUUUUCUUUUCAUUGCAGGAACUUACACAAAUAAAGGGGGAACUAGGUAGGUUCUCUGAUGACCCUAAUAAACAUAGAGAGGUUUUCCAAAAUUUGACCCAAAUGUUUCAUGUUACAUGGAGAGAUGCUAUGCUACAUUUAAGCCAAAACCCUAACUGUUACAGAAAAGCAGGCAGUCUUGCAGGCAGCAGAAACAUUUGGAGAUAAACAGCGUAACUCCUAUAGCCAGUCUAAAAAUCUUGAAAGGAAAAAAUCUAAGGGAUAAAAGAGGAUAAGGAGAGACAGGGUCCCCAUUCCCAAUAGUAAGAAAAAUGAGGCUCCCUUAAAAGCCCUAAUUGGAGCCUGAGUGAUCUCAUAAAUGAGUGGAAAUUAAAAGAAUUUCUGAUAUACAUUUAAAAAGACUUGGAAAUAAGCAGAACAAGACCUCUUAAUUACUCUCAACUGUAUGAGUUGCACCAGAAAAUAUAUGGAAAUCCACCUGCCUUCUUGGAGAGACUGAGAGAAGCUUUAGUAAGACACACUUCCCUGUCUUCCAGUUCAGUAAAAAACAGGUUCAAUACUCAGGCAGCCCCUGAUAUCAGAAGAAAGUUGCUGAAAUAGGCCCUGUCUAAAAAUCUUUCUAGUUUUUCUCACCAAACAAUCCCACAUUCCUAAGCCCUCUCCACUGUACUGUCUCAUUCACAAUCUUGCAAAACUUGACAGAAGCAUUUAGUCUUUUACUGUAACAUGGCCUGGUCCCAAUACACAUUAGAUAAUGACAGUCGAUGGCCCAAAAAUCAUACCUUUGACUUGCAAAUUCUCAGGAAGCUUAACAACUUUACAGCGAGGGAUGGCAAAUGGCAACUGGUUCUCUAUAUUCAGGCUUUCUUUGAUGUCUACCUUAAAUGUAACCUUCCACUGUGUCAAGCUUGCACUGCUCAUAAAAUCUUUCUUUUUAAUAAAAAUCCUCCCCAGGUCUUUCCUUACUAUGAAACUCCUUUUAACCCAGUAGAUAAAGCCCCUCUGUAUUCUUAUUCCCUGCAUCGACUCCUUGCCCAUCCAAAUCCUCUACCCCAGUGGCCCCUCCUGCCUCCAAACCCUUAGCCCCCAACCCAACUACUCGUUCUCCAUCUGUUACCAAUUCAAAAAUCACAUCUGCCUUUCCCUUUCUGGGAAGUGGCUGUGGUUAAAGGCAUUGCUCACAUUAAUUUCCCUUUCUCCAUGUAGGAUUUGUUGCAGAUCAAAGCUGAAUCAAACUUGACUUACAAAGCAAAAAGGCCCUUGGAAAACUCACUGCAUAUUUUGUGUACACAGUCCCUGUACAUGGUUUCUGAUCUGUGAGUCAAGGACACUUGUCUUGAGCUAGCUACACCCUUUCACAACUCAGUAAGGAGUGAAGACUGAUUUUGCAGAGCCAAUAAAGGCCCCUGGGGAAACUGGCCUCAUAUCUUGUCAUGAAGAUUUUAUACAGGUUUCCUAACCUGUGUGCUCACUGCUGCAAAGAAGAACAAGCACACAGGCAAAAAGUUUUCCCAGCAAGAAUGCCAGGGUGAAAGGAAAGAUCAAUUGGACCAGAGCACAAGUGCUGCUCCAGUUACUUGGCAGAGUACCUAAUAGUGAUCCACCACAAUACCACCAUAUAUCUGUUUGGGAAUAAACAAGGGCAAGUUGACUGCUUAAGAGUGAUGACAUGCAACUCAGUCUCUUGCAACACCACCUGAGAAAAGGAAGCACUAGCAGGAAGAACAAAUUGAUGGAGAGGAAAAGUGAUGAAUACAGAUAAGAAGCACAGCUGGUGGAGGCUCAUGUGCCAGUUUACUGGGCCUCAGGACAUUCUCCUCUAGAAGGAGGAGACAGCAUGACCCCCACUUUCUUUUAUUUUAUUAUAAUUUAAGUUUUAGGGUACAUGAGCACAAUGUGCAGGUUAGUUACAUAUGUAUA
rnacentral:lncRNA from 1 species